CCAGCACCCCCGGGAGGACGGAGGGGCCAACGGGAGCCGGAGGCAGGGGGCGUAAAGCGCGCGUAGGCGGCCCGACAGACCGGGGGUCGAAGCGGGGGGGAAACCCCCCGAAGCCCCCGGACACCUCCGCGGCUUGGGUCCGGUGGGGGAGGGUGGAACACCGACUGUAGCGGUGGAAUGCGCAGAUAUCGGGUGGAACACGGUGGCGAAGGCGGCCCUCUGGGCCGAGACCGACGCUGAGGCGCGAAAGCUGGGGGAGCGAACAGGAUUAGAUACCCUGGUAGUCCCAGCCGUAAACGAUGGACGCUAGGUGUGGGGGACGAUCCCCCCGUGCCGCAGCCAACGCAUUAAGCGUCCCGCCUGGGGAGUACGGCCGCAAGGCUAAAACUCAAAGGAAUUGACGGGGCCCGCACAAGCAGCGGAGCAUGUGGCUUAAUUCGAAGCAACGCGAAGAACCUUACCAGGGCUUGACAUAUGGGUGAAGCGGGGGAGACCCCGUGGCCGAGAGGAGCCCAUACAGGUGGUGCAUGGCUGUCGUCAGCUCGUGUCGUGAGAUGUUGGGUUAAGUCCCGCAACGAGCGCAACCCCCGCCGCGUGUUGCCAUCGGGUGAUGCCAGGAACCCACGCGGGACCGCCGCCGUCAAGGCGGAGGAGGGCGGGGACGACGUCAAGUCAUCAUGCCCCUUAUGCCCUGGGCUGCACACGUGCUACAAUGGCCGGUACAGAGGGAUGCCACCCCGCGAGGGGGAGCGGAUCCCGGAAAGCCGGCCCCAGUUCGGAUUGGGGGCUGCAACCCGCCCCCAUGAAGUCGGAGUUGCUAGUAAUCGCGGAUCAGCAUGCCGCGGUGAAUGCGUUGCCCGGGCCUUGUACACACCGC
rnacentral:rRNA from 1 species